UAGCAAUUUAUUUUCAAUGAUAAGACAUGAAUUGCCGAUUGGCUUUAUUAACAUGAUUUAUACUAUUGGAAGUAUUUAGAAACAAAAUUUCUUAUUUUUUCGACAUAAUUUGAGUAGUGAUCAAAAGCUCUCAAAGUUGACAAUUUUAAAUACCGAUAUGAUGCAUUUGUAGGUGUAAGGAUAAAAUUUUGAUAAUUUUUUUUUCACUAUUUAGAAUUACAAAGUCGACACUUCAAAUGUAAA
rnacentral:lncRNA from 1 species